rnacentral:rRNA from 1 species
UACAGAGGGUGCGAGCGUUGUUCGGAAUUAUUGGGCGUAAAGGGCGCGUAGGCGGUUCGUCACGUCGGCUGUGAAAUCCCGAGGCUCAAACCUCGGGGUCUGCAGUCGGAUGACGGGCGGACUGGAGUACUGCAGGGGAGACUGGAAUUCCUGGUGUAGCGGUGAAAAUGGCGCCAGAUAUCAGGAGGAACACCGGUGGCGAAGGCGGGUCUCUGGGCAGUAACUGACGCUGGAGGAGCGAAAGCGUGGGGAGCGAACAGG